UCGGGGAUCCCUGUCAUGGGAUACCACUGCAUACUUGUGACAGAUUGAUAACUGAAA
rnacentral:pre_miRNA from 1 species